rnacentral:rRNA from 1 species
UACGUAGGUGGCAAGCGUUAUCCGGAAUUACUGGGCGUAAAGCGCACGCAGGCGGUCUUUUAAGUUUGACGUGAAAGCCCCCGGCUCAACUGGGGAGGGUCAUUCGAUACUGUUCGACUCGAAGGCAGGAGAGGGAAGUGGAAUUCCCGGUGUAGUGGUGAAAUGCGUAGAUAUCGGGAGGAACACCAGUGGCGAAGGCGACUUCCUGGCCUGUUCUUGACGCUGAGGCGCGAAAGCUAGGGGAGCAAACGGG